rnacentral:rRNA from 1 species
UGCCUACGGGACGCAGCAGUAGGGAAUUUUGCGCAAUGGGCGAAAGCCUGACGCAGCAACACCGCGUGAAUGUUAAGCCCUUCGGGGUGUAAAGUUCUGUCAAUAGGGACGAAUUUUGACUGUACCUAUAAAGGAAGCACCGGCUAACUCCGUGCCAGCAGCCGCGGUAAUACGGAGGAUGCGAGCGUUAUCCGGAUUUAUUGGGUUUAAAGGGUGCGCAGGCGGUCUGUUAAGUCAGCGGUCAAAGCCCGGGGCUCAACCCCGGCCCGCCGUUGAAACUGGCAGUCUCGAGUUGGAGAGAAGUA